CAGUCGCCGCGGGAAUACGAGGGGGGCAAGCGUUGUUCGGAAUUAUUGGGCGUAAAGGGUGCGUAGGCGGUUUGAUAAGUCUUGUGUGAAAUCUAUGGGCUCAACCCAUAGUCUGCACAGGAAACUGUCGGGCUUGAGAGUGGGAGAGGUGAGUGGAAUUUCCGGUGUAGCGGUGAAAUGCGUAGAUAUCGAAAGGAACACCUGUGGCGAAAGCGGCUCACUGGACCAUUUCUGACGCUGAUGCACGAAAGCUAGGGGAGCAAACAGGAUUAGAUACCCCCGUAGUCCCUGUCUCUUAUAA
rnacentral:rRNA from 1 species